GGCUGAUGCGUCCCAUCGGCUGGUCGGGAAGUGCAGAAUAGAUGGAAAGACAGCAGAAAUGCAUAUCAGGUAUGAAUGUUAAUUGUGAGAAAGAAGGUUAAAAAGACAAAACUAAAGAGGGCUACAGCCAAAACAGUGAAGAUAGUUUUGCCAUAUCCCUAUUCUUAAGAGUAGCAUAUAGACUUUUCUAUGAAAUUAACUAGUAGCAUAUCCACCAUAUGUCAAUUAAUCAAAACCGUGAUGAUCCACAAUGUGUCACUAAAGAAUCUUCCUUAUAGGCAAUUACACAAAGAUGAUCACUCUUGAUUCCAUAGUUUUUCAGACAAAACAGAGAAAUGAGAACUCAAUUGCUGGUCCAGUUUUACCUUUGAAGUCCACGAUAUUUCGC